GGUUGUGAGAGCAAGAGCCCGGAGAUGGAACUGAGACAAGGUUCCAGGCCCUACGGGGUGCAGCAGGCGCGAAACCUCCGCAAUGUGAGAAAUCGCGACGGGGGGAUCCCAAGUGCCAUUCUUAACGGGAUGGCUUUUCAUUAGUGUAAAGAGCUUUUGGAAUAAGAGCUGGGCAAGACCGGUGCCAGCCGCCGCGGUAACACCGGCAGCUCUAGUGGUAACAAUUUUUAUUGGGCCUAAAGCGUCCGUAGCCGGUUUAAUAAGUCUCUGGUGAAAUCCUGUAGCUUAACUGUGGGAAUUGCUGGAGAUACUAUUAGACUUGAGACCGGGAGAGGUUAGAGGUACUCCCAGGGUAGAGGUGAAAUUCUGUAAUCCUGGGGGGACCGCCUGUUGCGAAGGCGUCUAACUGGAACGGUUCUGACGGUGAGGGACGAAAGUUAGGGGCGCGAACCGGAUUAGAUACCCGGGUAGUCCUAACUGUAAACGAUGCGGACUUGGUGUUGGGGUGGCUUUGAGCUGCUCCAGUGCCGAAGGGAAGCUGUUAAGUCCGCCGCCUGGGAAGUACGGUCGCAAGACUGAAACUUAA
rnacentral:rRNA from 1 species